rnacentral:rRNA from 1 species
GAUGAACGCUGGCGGCGUGCCUAAUACAUGCCAGUCGAGCGAACAGACGAGGAGCUUGCUCCUCUGACGUUAGCGGCGGACGGGUGAGUAACACGUGGAUAGCCUACCUAUAAGACUGGGAUAACUUCGGGAAACCGGAGCUAAUACCGGAUAAUAUAUUGAACCGCAUGGUUCAAUAGUGAAAGACGGUUUUGCUGUCACUUAUAGAUGGAUCCGCGCCGCAUUAGCUAGUUGGUAAGGUAACGGCUUACCAAGGCAACGAUGCGUAGCCGACCUGAGAGGGUGAUCGGCCACACUGGAACUGAGACACGGUCCAGACUCCUACGGGAGGCAGCAGUAGGGAAUCUUCCGCAAUGGGCGAAAGCCUGACGGAGCAACGCCGCGUGAGUGAUGAAGGUCUUCGGAUCGUAAAACUCUGUUAUUAGGGAAGAACAAAUGUGUAAGUAACUAUGCACGUCUUGACGGUACCUAAUCAGAAAGCCACGGCUAACUACGUG